rnacentral:tRNA from 2 species
UAGCUCAGCUGGGAGAGCAUCUGCCUUACAAGCAGAGGGUCGGCGGUUCGAUCCCGU